rnacentral:rRNA from 1 species
GAUGAACGCUGACAGAAUGCUUAACACAUCAGCAAUGGAUUGGUGGCGGACGGGUGAGUAACGCGUAAAGAACUUUCCUCACAGCUAGGGACAACAUUUGGAAACGAAUGCUAAUACCUAAUACUGUGAGAGAGCUUUGCGUCCCAUUAGCUAGUUGGAGAGGUAACGGAUCACGAAGGCGAUGAUGGGUAGCCGGCCUGAGAGGGUGAGCGGCCACAAGGUGACUGAGACACGGCGCUUACUCCUACGUGAGGCAGCAGUGGGGAAUUGUGGACAAUGGACCAAAGUCUGAUCCAGCAAUUCUGUGUGCACGAUGAAUUUUUCGGAAUGUAAAGUGCUUUCAGUUGGGAAGCGGUACCAACAGAAGAAGUGACGGCUCCCUCCCUGCCAGCAGCCGCGGUAAUAC